AAUGAGAAGCAAACACAACAGGGUUUUUUUCCUCUUUCAAAUGCAGGCAGGUAAGCUUUAAUGAAUGAAAAAAGCAGCGUGUGAAAACACUUGCCUGGUGAGCAAAUGUCAAAGGGAACAAAAAUAUUUUACUCUGAAAGAUAACAGCACAAAGCGAUUGGCAUGAGUUCAGCAGGACAGUUGAGGCAUCAAAAAACUUGGGCAUCCUACAGAAUAGUUGAACAUACAGAGAACCAAAGAAGGGGAUAUUACUUAAUGCCUUUGGAGUUUUUUGUUUUGUACUUUGAGUUAAGUAAAAGCGCAGGAGGAAAAGCUGAGAAGUCAAAGCAGCAUAUCUACAAUCUAGCAUAGAGAUGGACACAAGCAUCAGGAAUGCUGAGCAACCACAGAUCCAGUUGUCAGAGUUGUGGAUUGAGGGGCUCAGCAGUGAUGACACCCAGGCUUAUGACAUCAGCAGCAGCCAUGAAUGUGUAUUAGGAGUUUCCAGGUACCAUUUUCUUUUCCAAAUUCUUCUGUUGUUGUGGAGACUGACUUUGAUCUUAACAGGGAGAACCGCACACCUUGGCAAUUCCACGGGGUUGGCACAGACCCAAACGGCUGUAUGAGCUUCCGCCGGAGCCCCCACCACAGGCGGUGUAUCCCCCCACUCUAACUGGCUCGCAAGUGGCGGCAAGGAUUGGUCCUGGGACUACCACACACACGGGAGCCGGCUGGAUGACUACUUCACAUGGUGGUAACUGAUUGACGCAGCCAACAUUGGCUCCAGAUGUUAUACCGAGGCUACUCGAUGACACUCCGCCUCCGUAGGAUGACAAGCCCCCACAAGGUGAACACAGUGAGCCCAGACCACUGACCGGGUAGCUGACACAAGAUGGGGCACAGGAUGAGACGCAGCAGGGCUGGCAAGACAUCUUGAAGUGAUGGAGCUGGGUCUGAAAUGACAAGUUGCAGGCAAGACUUAGUGGAAGAAAUCAGUUGAGGAAGGGGAUGUUGAAGGAGCACUUGUGCAACAAUGAGGGACGUUGAAGCAGAGGGGGGAGACCAUGCUAAAAGGGAAAUUACAGAGGCUAGUGCUUUGUGGAAGAGCUGGUACCUGCCUUUGUGGAUGAGAUGCCCUAUAUUAGGAGUGACCAACAUGGUGUCCUCUAGAUGUUGUUGGCAUGCAACUCCCACCAGCCCCAGCUAAUGUUGCCAAAGUCUCAGAAUGAUCUGAGUUGAAGUCCACAAUGUUUAGUGGACACUGC
rnacentral:lncRNA from 1 species